UCUCCCGAUUCCUCCCUCAGUCUGUUUCCUUUUCCCUUUUUUACCGCUGUGUUUUUGUUAUGUCAUUGGUGUCAAAUUUAAAUAAACAUCAUCUUUGCCUAAUUGUUUCAUCUGGUGGCAGAGGCAACGUGAACCCGGCGACCGAAGCCUUGGCCAUUACGGACGCGUUACCAAAAACCUACUACAGCAGCUCUUCGCCGAAGAAGGCAUAAAUUGAGGAAAAAUAUUCUGUCACCGACAUCAAAGAAAAACCAUUAAAGAAGAAAAUAAAGGCAUUGUGGUUGGAGCAUGGCCUACUAUAAUCACGGCUCAUCAGCUGGAUAUCUCCCUGUAGCCUAAAAUGAAUUGGGAUCGCUCCACCCAUUCAUAGCCAGAGGGUCGUAGUCCCUCUCAAAUUUUUCCAAAUUCCACUGCUUCUUUCCACCUUUUAAAAUGUUUUUAAAUUCUGCCAUUGCCGUGCUUAUGAUGUCAUGAUUCGAAUCGCUCUGCCAGGGUGUUUGAGACACAACGCCAACACAAUGCAAAUAAAAACAAGUAAAAUGGGAAGCAAGUACUUUUCAGAGAGCUAGACCAAACCGGGCACUGUCUGAGGCCCAGCACACAAUGAGUAAUUUAUGUCAACAGCGGCUGAGGAUCUGGGGGAGCCAACUGAAGUAGAUUAGUAGGAACAAGAACUUACUUUUAGUAAUGGGCAAAACAUUGAAUUUUACUUACGAACAACAACAACAUCACUAGCUACUUUUGAAGUUUAAGGGCUUUUCUCUUCUUUCGCUUGUUCUGAACAAUUAGUAUUUUAUCACUUCGUACACGACUUCUUUUUUCUUCGGCAGCAAAACAUUUGAAUUCUUCGCAUUGAGACAAACGCACCACAACAAAGUCAACAAAGUCAUCGACUAUUUUGCUGCAGUUCCGUAGUUUUUGGAAUACUCUUCUAAAAAAAAUGUACGCUGUCCACAUGCGAGACGUCCCUGAUUCACAAGGAUAUUUCAAACCACCUCUAUCUGGUAAGUUUAGAAAUUUGAACAUGUAUUUAUGUUAAGAAAUACGUAUUAAAUAGCUAGCAGAAUAGUUACCUAGAUGUUUUACUAAGCGUAGGUAUCUUGCGUUGCAUGUACGGGUAAUGAUUUUGGUGUAACAAUCAAUGCAAAAGCAGAGCAGUUGUCCGUACUUAAAUAUUGCAUAGCCAUUUAUAUAAAACAUGAAAGUGCGUCUGGAAUGAAGGGAACGUGGUCUAGUAAGUGAAAUGUUUCAUUAGAUAUUUAGAAAAAUCAUCCAAAAUUAUAUUACCAUAUUACCUGGGGGAUAUUCAAGAGUUUUCAAUAGAUUUAUGUUAUUUAUUUCUGUUUGUCUCAAUACA